rnacentral:rRNA from 1 species
UACGGAGGGUGGCAAGCGUUAUCCGGAAUCACUGGGCGUAAAGGGUGCGUAGGCGGGUCUUUUAAGUCAGGGGUGAAAUCCUGGAGCUCAACUCCAGAACUGCCUUUGAUACUGAGGAUCUUGAGUUCGGGAGAGGUGAGUGGAACUGCGAGUGUAGAGGUGAAAUUCGUAGAUAUUCACAAGAACACCAGUGGCGAAGGCGGCUCACUGGCCCGGUACUGACGCUGAGGCACGAAAGCGUGGGGAGCAAACAG